rnacentral:rRNA from 1 species
UACGUAGGGUGCGAGCGUUAAUCGGAAUUACUGGGCGUAAAGGGUGCGCAGGCGGUCUCGUAAGCUGGGUGUGAAAGCCCCGGGCUUAACCUGGGAAUGGCAUUCAGGACUGCGAGGCUUUGAGUGCGGCAGAGGGAGGUGGAAUUCCACGUGUAGCAGUGAAAUGCGUAGAGAUGUGGAGGAACACCGAUGGCGAAGGCAGCCUCCUGGGCCAGCACUGACGCUCAUGCACGAAAGCGUGGGGAGCAAACAG